GAGCAUUUUCUUUCUUUGUGCAAUACACAGCACUGCAUGCAAUAUUUUUUUUUUUACUCCGAUAAGGCAGGUAAUUGUAUUAGAUUUACAUCUGCAUGCCGUGAGAAGUUUUGCGCACUAAAGGAAAUUUUCUUUUAGGAAGCUGAGACGCAGUGGCACAUCAACCGGCUCGAAAGGUAUUCAGUGGCCGUCUUAUUGGCAGCUCUGCUCAUUUUUGGGCACACUUCCUGUCAUCAACAGAGGCCUUGCGGAAGUGAGAAUGGAGGCAUGCUGCUCCGUCUGACGCUGUCGGACUGCUCUCUCUCUCUCAAAUGUCUUCGCGUCGGCUGCCGCGGAAAAACUUGUCAUCGACACCCGCCUGCGAGAGCUGUACGUGCAGCAAAAUCCGUUCUCCACCAAUGGACGCUGCACCAUGCUUCAGGUCUCAGAGGAAGCUGAGACACAGUGGCACAUCAACAGGCUCGAAAGGUAUUCAGUGGCCGUCUUAUUGGCAGCUCUGCUCAUUUUUGGGCACACUUCCCGUCAGCAACAGAGGCCUUGCGGAAGAGAGAAUGGAGUGACACCACAGAUGCGGACAGUGGAGAUAUAGUCAAGCAGAAGCCUCCAGAGGAGCCAAAGCCAUCUCACCGGACUAGAACAGCCACAGCCAGAAAAAAAGGAACACUACUACUCCUGUGGAGGCACUUGGGAAGGAAUACAAGGCUGGAAAGACAGACGCGUUUUGAAAAAGCAAUGACAUAUAAUGGUGUUGUAGAG